AAAUUACUCUCUCCAUCCCAAAAUUCUUGUCUUAGGUUUGUUUAGAAAUGAAUGUAUAAAAAUACUAAAACGUGACUAGAUACAUUCAUAUCUAGACAAAUCUAAGACAAGAAUUUUAAGACGGAUGGAGUAUUUA
rfam:Hordeum vulgare subsp. vulgare, WGS project CAJW01000000 data, contig: morex_contig_432775